rnacentral:lncRNA from 1 species
CGCGCAGACUCGCUGGCUCCGCCGGCGUGCCAUCCGCGCCGCCAGUGGGAGGGUAUAGCUGGGUGGGAGGAGAUGGAAAAGUAAGUGGAGCGCCCUGAAGGGAAGGAAAGGGAUCUGGAGCCCCAUUUAUUUCCUUCAUGAAUGUCCAGAGGAGAUCCUUGAAAUGAAGACUGCCACUGGGAUAAGGAAGAGACACCAUAGAUCUCUCUUUCUGCAUGCAUGCACAGAAGAAAGUCCAUAUUAGGACACAGUGAAAAGAUGGCCAUCUACAAGCCAGGAAGAGAGGCCUUAUCAGACACCAACGCUGACAGCACCUGGAUCUUGUACUUCUAGCCUCCAGAACUGAAAUUGUCCUUUUCACCUAAAUUUUUGAAUAUCUUGGCAUGAGAGCCCAAGUAGAGUGCAGAAUCACCUGGGUUCAGACGAUUCUCGUGCCUCAGCCUCCGGAGCAGCUGGGAUUACAGGUAAUUUACAUCGACUGCAUCUGUAUGGUGAAAAUAUAGUAUAAUGGGGUGCUGCUGUGAAUCUCCUUCCAAUUCUGCAUUCUGUGAUAUCAUAGUGGUAACCUGAAAUCCACCAUAGUGGGGACAUUUACACAAUAACUGGCAAAUGCUACAAGGCUGGGCUUUUUCAGUUUUGUUGAUUGUCUGGACAUAAAAAGGUAAUACAGAAAAUGUUACCAAUACAAGCAUUUGGGAAAAAUAAACUAAAACCUUUUGUGAAAAACAACAGGUUUUAUGGAAUUUACAAUAAAUAAUACUGUAUAUUUUAUUAUU